AAGCCAUGCAUGUCUAAGUAUAAGCAAUCUAUACGGUGAAACUGCGAAUGGCUCAUUAAAUCAGUUAUCGUUUAUUUGAUAGUACCUUACUACUUGGAUAACCGUGGUAAUUCUAGAGCUAAUACAUGCUAAAAACCUCGACUUCGGAAGGGGUGUAUUUAUUAGAUAAAAAACCAAUGCCCUUCGGGGCUCCUUGGUGAUUCAUAAUAACUUAACGAAUCGCAUGGCCUUGUGCCGGCGAUGGUUCAUUCAAGUUUCUGCCCUAUCAACUUUCGAUGGUAGGAUAGUGGCCUACCAUGGUUU
rnacentral:rRNA from 1 species